AAAUAAGAAGCAAAAUUUUGCAUUUAGUUUCGACCUAAAACCCAUGACUUUUAAGUCCUUAUUUU
rnacentral:tRNA from 1 species